rnacentral:rRNA from 1 species
GAUGAACGCUAGCGACAGGCUUAACACAUGCAAGUCGAGGGGCAUCACGGGAGUAGCAAUACAACUGGUGGCGACCGGCGCACGGGUGAGUAACGCGUAUGCAACCUACCUAUCAGAGGGGAAUAACCCGGCGAAAGUCGGACUAAUACCGCAUAAAACAGGGGCACCGCAUGGUGAUAUUUGUUAAAGAAAUUCGCUGAUAGAUGGGCAUGCGUUCCAUUAGGUAGUUGGUGAGGUAACGGCUCACCAAGCCGACGAUGGAUAGGGGAACUGAGAGGUUGGUCCCCCACACGGGUACUGAGACACGGACCAGACUCCUACGGGAGGCAGCAGUGAGGAAUAUUGGUCAAUGGGCGGGAGCCUGAACCAGCCAAGUCGCGUGAAGGAAGAAGGAUCUAUGGUUCGUAAACUUCUUUUGCAGGGGAAUAAAGUGCAGGACGUGUCCUGUUUUGUAUGUACCCUGAGAAUAAGGAUCGGCUAACUCCGUGCCAGCCGCCGCGUAAGAC